rnacentral:lncRNA from 10 species
ACAAAGUGAUCAGGGGAUUGUCUGCAAGCCAGAAAGAAAGCUCUGGCCAGGAACCAACCUUGCUGGACCUCUUUCGAGGACUUGUGGCCUCCAGAACUAUAACCACAGGUAUGGACCAAUGUUAGCCAAUCAUCCACCUGACAAUAGCAACUGAUUCAAGACGGGAGCUCAAGAACCAAGUAGGGCCUGAGGGCUUUACCUGAAGUGAAAUAUGAACAUCCAAUGGCAAAAAGAAAUACUCUCUCCACUGGAUUGUUAUGCCUGGGCCUGCAGCAACCAAGUUCUCUACCACAUGGAGAGAUAUGAGAUAUGGUUAGACAAAAUGAGAAGAGCACAGACAAGCAGAAACAAGAGCUGGGCAGGAUCCCUGUUCAGACUAACUUACAGUCUGAACGUACAUGCAAAGAUCUCUGAAAAGCAGUCUAUCCAAGUGGGCUUAAAACUUUAGUCAUGACAAAUUGUAUUUUCAGAGGCAGCACAGUGCAUUUCUUAAAGCUCUUGUUGUUCUUCUUUACUAUCAAAUAAAAAUUGGCUCCCUGUAACUUGUAUUUUGACCAGCUCUCCACUAUCAUGGAAUGAACAUAUUCUAUCUAUUGUAUGAGAGUCUUUUACAUAUUAAAAGAUA